rnacentral:rRNA from 1 species
AGUGAACGCUGGCGGUAGGCCUAACACAUGCAAGUCGAACGGCAGCACAGUAAGAGCUUGCUCUUACGGGUGGCGAGUGGCGGACGGGUGAGGAAUACAUCGGAAUCUACUUUUUCGUGGGGGAUAACGUAGGGAAACUUACGCUAAUACCGCAUACGACCUACGGGUGAAAGCAGGGGAUCUUCGGACCUUGCGCGAUUGAAUGAGCCGAUGUCGGAUUAGCUAGUUGGCGGGGUAAAGGCCCACCAAGGCGACGAUCCGUAGCUGGUCUGAGAGGAUGAUCGGCCACCCUGGAACUGAGACACGGUCCAGACUCCUACGAGAGGGCGCAGUGGGGAAUAUUGGGCAAUGGGCGCGAGCCUGAUCCAGCCAUACCGCGUGGGUUAAGAAGGCCUUCGGGUUGUAAAGCCCUUUUGUUGGGAAAGAAAAGCAGCAGGUUAAUACCACGCUGUUCUGACGGUACCCAAAGAAUAAGCACCGGCUAACUUCGUG